rnacentral:rRNA from 1 species
CGGAGUUAGCCGGGGUUUCUUUACCUGCUACAGUCAUUAUCUUCACAGGCGAAAGAGCUUUACGACCCUAAGGCCUUCAUCACUCACGCGGCACGGCUGGAUCAGGCUUGCGCCCAUUGUCCAAGAUUCCCCA